UCCUGAGGUGAAACAUGUGUCCAUGAUGU
rnacentral:piRNA from 1 species